UUGGGCCCGCUCACUGCAAUACGAAAUUUGGCCAGUGGCAAAAAGUAAUCAGCUGAGGGAGAGUUGAGUGGCUCCAUUACCCAUUGAUGUGCAACAUUUCUCCCAGCAUGUUCAGUGUCAUGAAUGCAUAAGUUUGACCUAAAAAUCAGAUCUUUAUGUACAUCGUGGUACUGGCUCGGCUUUCUUUUUUAGGUCAGAUUCUCAACAGAUUUAUGCUGCGAGCAGUUACAAAUUCUUCUUGAGAGACACUUGUGUCAAAAACAAAACAAGAUGUUUUCACCGUCUCCUUCAAGAGAGAUACAUGCAAGGAAAAGCUGAAAUACUUUUCCCAUUGUCCAACAUACAAAACAUGUUGCUGGGGAAGUCCUGGUUACCAAAUGUGUCUGCAGAAUGUGCAGGCACUAGCAGCACUAGAGCAAGCACAAAAGAUUGGCUUUGUCUCCUUUAUUCAUGAUAAAUUCACAUUUUACUUCUUGUGCAUUCGCUGAAGUCAGCAGAGCUCGAAGCAGAGUAUGCAGAUAUUGAUUUUGAAUCCUGGACCAGAAUCUCUCACUCUUCCCAAAUUCCACAUUUUUCAGAAGUGCUGGUCACCAUUCCAACAGCUCUAAAACUGGAUGUUGCAGGUGUCUUGCAUUGACAGCUGCAAUUUUACUGAUGCUGUGCAGCACAGGAUGUCCACUCUCAUUACGUCUCAAGACACAGGAAAUGCAACUCAGUAUCUGAAUGCAUAAGAGAGAAGGAGCCUUUUAAAGUUCAAGGUAAGUGCCAUGAUUUUUAAGUUGCUGGAGGAGAAGAAGAGAGCAUUUAAUGGAUCCUUUACUUAAUUUUGAAACUUGCCUUUUAUUUUUAAUGCUUCCUACAGGAUUCAAGAAGCCUGUUGACACCAGUACACGCUGGUAUAUAAAAAUCAAUUACAGAAUUUAAUACUUACGUCUGCUGACUUCCAACCCCACAAAAGCCUGCACUGAGGAGGUUCAGAAAUUAGAAGUGAAGAACUGCCAGGCACUUAGAUUCUUUUUGUGAAGACUGACUGAAGAGAAGCAUGCAAAACACAAGAAUCAGAAUGAGUUGCUACACAAAUGAUAAACAAAAUAAAAAUAUGUUGAGAAAUAUACA
rnacentral:lncRNA from 1 species